GGGGCGUUUAGUUCAGUGGUAGAAUGUCUCGGUGACAUCGAGAAGGUCGUAAGUUCAAAUCUUGCCCCCG
rnacentral:tRNA from 1 species